AAUAUGCACCGCUCUCUGUCUCUGGUGCUGACAUGCUACAGGGCGUGGGUAGGAGCUGCUGGCCAGCUGCAGGGUCCCAGCGAGGGUGGUUUUAGCACACAAAUUGCUUCCAGAGCUGCUGGGAUGGAAGAUGCCCUAUGAAAGGAGAGAUAAUCACCCCUCAUUUUGCUCAUCCUACAGAUGCCCUUGUCUUGCUCAUUGCCCCAGGGCUCAGUGGGGCAUCCUCACCAAAAAACACGACGUGGAGAAAUGCCUCCAUCAGUACGGGACGUGGCUGUGACAGUGCAUGAGCCGAUACAGCCUGUCAGCCCGAGUCCCCAUGGCUUGCAGAGGUGUUUAAAUGAACAAGGGAAUGAUCGCCUUCAGCUGGCGAUGAGAAAUGGGAGCCCUUUUCCCCCAACAGGCGAAAGGCAGCUCGUGGCCUUGGCUCUCUUGCUGUGCACUAAAAGCCCAGUGGCAUGUGCAGGGGGAGUGAGGGCUGGCCCAUGGUGUCUGGCUGGGUGUCACAGUCAUUUCCUAGAACGCUUGUGGAAAAGAUCUUUUUCUACAAUAAGUAUGCUGAAGCAUCCCAUGACUUCCAGUAGGAAUUAUCUGAGUGUUAAGGAGGGGAUUUCCCAAGACUUCGGUGGCAGCGUGUUAGGAGCUGAUACUGAAAGACCCUUGGGCGUGCGCAGGGCAGAGCGAACCCCUCUGGCAAGGGAUGGUGCUGUGCUGGCACGGCAAUGGGGGAAAAUCCAGCUCCUGCCCAGCCGUGGGAAGGAUCCUUCUGAUUAACCCAAAGUCCAGAUUUCUGCGUGAAGGUUCCCAUGGCAACUGGGCUGCAAAGAUUAAAUAUUUAAAAAUAUGGAAGCGAUGCUGGCGAGCGAGGCGAAUGCAAGAACUCCAGGGUAUCCAUGCGCCUGGGUUGUGGCCCACCCUGGUGUCCCACAGUCCUGCUGCUGCCACCUGGCCUGGCAAGGCUUCCUCAGGCUGGGAGCAGCCACCCUGCCCAGCACCCUGCCCAUUGGCAUUGCUGCCCACAGCCUCCGUGGGACAUCUCCCCGUUCUCCGCACCAUUUUUUGCAACAGAAACGGCAGGGCAUGAGGCUGGUCCCUUUCAGCAAUUGCUUCCAUUACUACUAGUGCUCCUUAGAAAAGGAGGGGGGAAAAUGCAAUUUAAGUGAAGACCAAACCUUCCCCAGGCCUCUGCCCAGUGAAACAUCAUUUGUGGAAAACUUCGAAGUUGCUCCCCAUAAUUUGGGGUGGGGGGAGCAGACCAAAGAGCACUGCUGAUUUGCCUUCAUUUUACAGUGCUGUUGGAAAGCAGUGCUGUUUUGUGAAAAGUAAAUGCUCUGUGGAAAAUGAUCAGUUCCAUGAUAUUUUGAUGGAAAGUUUCUAAUUCACUAGAAGUGAGUAAUCUGUUUUGACCUCCUUGUUUUGUUUGUGAUACAUUGCUUUACCUGAAGUGCAUCCCUUGGGUGGCACUGGCACUGUUCACUGUGGUAAGAUCAUUCUUUCAACUCAAAUGGUACCCAUCCUACAGUAAAACAAAAAAUACCACUCACAGCAAUGCAGGAUCUUCACUGGGAGUUCCACAUUUCAAGCUUAAGGUAGUCACCUCUUUUCCCACCAGUCAACAUAAACUUACUGAUACAGCUGUUGAGUAAUAGAGGUAAUACUAAAGGAAGACAGUGCCAGCAUCCGGGCAACUGCAGAGAGGUACAGAUGGCCUCUCCAGACAUGGCAGAGCUUUAACGGCACCACAAUUUCAGCUCCUGUCUCUGGAAAAGAGAUACCUUACUUCUGAAAUCACUGGAAAGUUAAAGAAGUUGAGUUUUAAUGGUACCCACCAUACCUAUAUCCACGUUUAACGCAUUGUCUCUAAGGUAAAGAAAAGUGAGGCUCAUUAGAGCCCUUUUUCUAAUUAGCUGCUGCAAACAGAUUUUCUUUUAUAAAUGCCUGAAUGUAAAGUUAUUUGUGUACCUAAUUUCUUUUUUAUGUUACAUUUAUUUUUAAGUGUAAUUCACUAAGGCUUAACAUUUGUAAUUCUUGCAGGGGCAUUACAACCAACGAUGCACAUUUAUUACAACCCCUUAAAUUGCCGCAUUUUAUUUCCAUAUGUUUUUGAAUUGCUAUUAAGCUUGUUUUGUGCUCUUCCCAUUGUUAAAGUGUAUUUUUUUAUUGUACAUAAAUGGUAAAUAAUUGAUACCUGCCAUCUGGUGCUAAUCAUUCUGCCAGCCCUAUGUCUCCACCCUGUCCUUUCAUUCCUUGCUAGCUCUCCCCCAUCAGCUCUUCCCCUUUCUGUCCCAGUUUUCUCUGUGUCUUCACCCCUUUGCUCCCCCGGAGGUGCCUGUAGUGAUGUGGUGCUGAGAAAUACACUGCCCUUCACCUCUGCUCAGCCCAAAGCCUCCUCUUCCUCCUUGAUGCCUUUCAGGGAGGCGACUGUCCUGGGGAUGCUCAUCCUGCCCUCCCUGCUCAGGCUCCUCUCAUCCACGCGGUUCAGGUCCCAUCAUCCGGGGACCACUGGGGACCCCCUGGAUGGAGCUGCUCUGCCCUGACACCGCUGGGCUUUGCUGCACAACUCCUGUGGUGCCCAUGUGCCUCGUUACUCUUACAGAGGCAUCAUCCUUGCCAGCAUUUUCUCCUGUGCUAGCAGUAUGUAUGGACCCGUGCGAGAUAUAAACACUGAACUGCAGCGCUGGGUCUCUCUCUGUAUAGACUGUGUUGGAAAAAGUCGUCCGGGCAUUACGGCAGUUAGUGGCAGCAAAUUUCAAGUGCUGGCAGCUCCAGAGAGUAGCAACAAGCCAGAAGCCAUGGUGACAUGAUGCUGUGACCACCUCCUGCCCUGCCAGGGAACAAAAUGAAGUCCCUCUGAUCCCUGAGGUUGCUCAGUUGUGAGUUACGUGGGCUAUGUGCACUAAAAACCACAUUUGCAAAGUAUCCAGUUGCUAGAGCCAAAGUACAGAAAGCCCAGAGCUGCCGACAACCAGAGUGCACUUUCCAUGAGCAAAGCAAUUUCUUUCUCUAAGCCUGAAUUAAAUCUUUCCAGACCUAAAAAACCUCUUGGAGGCAGAUUAUUGGGAUGGAGAAUUUCUGCCUAAAUGGUUAAAAGUUUGGCAAUGCUGUGAGUGACCAAAAGCAAGGUUUUAUAAUGGGAAAUGCUAGGCAAAAUCAGUAGCCAGCAUUAUUAUCAGCCCAGCCCAUAAUAACAGCUUGUGCUGUGUAGAUAUGUGACCAUCCGUGCUAAGCUAAUUGUUGAUAAAAUCCUAGGAGUUAUAAUUAGCCCCAGUGGGAUUCCUUGUGCUGCUAAACCGAAGUGUGUGCCUCCCUGUUUGCAGGGGGAAGCCGCGGGGCAGGGUGGUGGCCCAGCAUCCCCAGGGUGCAGGAUGUGACCUGGCAGCAGACCCCACUGGGCAGCACCAGCCCUGGAGCAGGGGAGGACAGGGGCGUGUGGGGCGUUGGGAAUAAAUGAACCAUUUUCACCCUGUCCCCUUUCCCACCUUUCCAUGUGAUGGCCAAAAUGGGCUGUCGUGUAAGAAUUUCACCUUUCUGCCUUGCCAAAGCAUGAGCGCUCCAGCUGCCUUUACUGCCUGCGGGACAAGGAGGUUUUGGGAUGCUGUACCUAUCCAUCUGUCCAUCUGUCUGUCCUGAGCACUGUAUGCUGGGCACAGAUGCUCAGCUGCUCCUCUCUGCUGUAGGCAGCAUUGUGGGUGCAGGUGUGUAGCUGCACGUGGUGCCUGACCCCUCCAGCAGCCCCUGGCACAGCCCUGGCAGUGUCCUCGGGGACGGGCCCUCGGUCCUCCGUCAGGGCAGGUACCAAUGGUACCUCUGCAGGUGAUGGGCUUUUUGCUUUGCUCUCAGCACACACAUGUGGGCAAUCUGGGCUGAUCCCCCAGAAAAACCAAAGUCUCUGUGUGGCUGUGGCAGGUUUCAAUCUGUGGCACUGCUGGGGAACAGUGUUCCU